AUCCAGCUGAUGAGUCCCAAGUAGGACUUGACGCACGUCCUGGAU
rfam:Schistosoma mansoni, Puerto Rico, WGS project CABG01000000 data, contig: 0224